rnacentral:rRNA from 1 species
UGAAUACGAGACGCUACGGCGUCGAAGCAGUCUAUGUCAUACUUCCAAGAAAAGCUUGCACUGUCAUAAACAAAUAAUGCCUGUACCAUAACCGACACAGGUGGGUAGGUAGAGUAUACUAAGGGGCGCGAGAUAACUCUCUCUAAGGAACUCGGCAAAAUGACUCCGUAACUUCGGGAGAAGGAGUGCCUUAAGAAAUUAAGGUUGCAAUAACAAGAUCCAAGCAACUGUUUAUCAAAAACACAGGUCUCCGCUAAGUCGUAAGACGAUGUAUGGGGGCUGACGCCUGCCCAGUGCCAGAAGGUUAAAGAAGUCGGUUAGCAUUAGCGAAGCUGGUAACUGAAGCCCUGGUGAACGGCGGCCGUAACAAUAACGGUCCUAAGGUAGCGAAAUUCCUUGUCGGGUAAGUUCCGACCCGCACGAAAGGCGUAAUGAUUUGGAUUCUGUCUCGGAGAGGGACUCGGUGAAAUAGACUUGUCUGUGAAGAUGCGGACUACCUGCACCAGGACAGAAAGACCCUAUGAAGCUUUACUGUAACUUGAAAUUGAAAUUGGACUUUACUUGCGCAGUAUAGGUGGGAGGCGUUGAGAAUAUUCUUGCGGGAAUAUUGGAGCCAUCAGUGAGAUACCACUCUUGUAAUGUUAGAUUUCUAACUUUGUAUCAUUAUCUGGUCAAAGAACAGUUUCAGGCGGGCAGUUUGACUGGGGCGGUCGCCUCCUAAACGGUAACGGAGGCGCACAAAGGUUUCCUCUGAACGGGUAGAAAUCGUAUCUAGAGUGUAAAGGCAUAAGGAAGCUUGACUGUGAGACCUACAAGUCGAGCAGGGACGAAAGUCGGUCUUAGUGAUCUGACGGUGCUGAGUGGAAAGGCCGUCACUCAACGGAUAAAAGUUACUCUAAGGAUAACAGGCUGAUCUCCCCCAAGAGUUCACAUCGACGGGGAGGUUUGGCACCUCGAUGUCGGCUCAUCGCAUCCUGGGGCGGUAGUACGUCCCAAGGGUUGGGCUGUUCGCCCAUGAAAGCGGUACGCGAGCUGGGUUCAGAACGUCGUGAGACAGUUCGGUCCAUAUCCGGUGUAGGCGUUAGAAUAUUGAGAGGAGCCUUCUUUAGUACGAGAGGACCGAGAAGGACAUACCUCUGGUGUACCAGUUAUCGUGCCAACGGUAAACGCUGGGUAGCCAUGUAUGGAGAGGAUAACCGCUGAAAGCAUCUAAGUGGGAAGCCCACCUCAAGAUAAGUAUUGU